rnacentral:rRNA from 1 species
CCCUACGGGGUGCAGCAGGCCGGAAGCGGAUGAAAAAAUAAUCAGCGAAGCGACGGCCGUUUUAGAAGUAUCUGUUCAGCCAGGGACAGCCGCUGAUAAUGGACCCGCAGGAACCGUUAAGAUUUUAGCUUUUGUUUUGUCAAUCAUUCUUCUUCUAACAAUAACAGGCCUGCUGCUUAUAACCGGACAGAAACGUAACCAGAAAGUGAUAAAACAGCAGAAUGAAAAAAUUAACCUAAAAGCUGUCAAAUCAGAAAACAAUAAUGAAAAGAAUCCUGAUACUGCAGCCGAAUCAGAGAUGCGAAAAAUUGCGGAUAUGUAUGCAGCGGGUGAUGUUAACGGUCUUAUAGCAGUGCUGAAGGAUGGGCAAUUUCAAAACAAACUUACCGCCACAUUUUACCUGGCAGAUAUCGGGGAUAUGCGUGCGGUUGAGUCUCUCGAUAAAUUGAGCGUAAUGUAUGGCGGGAGAGC